GAAAAGGCAAUGAAGGAGCUAAGUAAAAAACAGUUCUGUUUACAGAGAGUGAGUGGUCGGUGUGAACUCAUAUCAGUGGUUUUUGAAUCUACUCUGGAGCUUCUAAUCUGAAAUAAGUUAGACGUAUUCCUACGUUACAGGAUUUUGAGAGGAAUGUGCAUUUAUAGGUGCAUUCAAUUAGGGUGGCAACGCGGAUAACAGAUUUUCGUCCCUUUU
rnacentral:ncRNA from 1 species